UAUUAAAAAUUUCAUCUAUUUCUAUUGUUAAAAACUGGUGUAGCUGACAAAAUAAUUACACAGUUACACAUGGCAUGCCACGUUUAUCUCAUAUUGAUAUACAAGAACCAAAAUUUAAUAGUAGAAACAGAUGCAAUUUUUAACA
rfam:Gossypium raimondii Chr06_contig_21, whole genome shotgun sequence.